ACCUAGAAUGAAAAUAUUGCACAUAGUAUAUAAAGAAGCAGAACUGAAAUAAUUAUUAUACAUUCGACAACCACUCGAGUCUCAGUACACGUUUUACACAAACAAAACAAAAAAACCCUAACAAAAUGUCAAAACUUGUGAUCUUGCUUUUGGUGGCUAUCGCCCUCGCUUUCAUCAGCUCCGCCUCCGCCCAAUUGAUUGUUUACCCGACCAACUACUACAACCCGUACGGCUACACAUACCCGCUGACAUACAACUACAGAUUUGGAGCAUACCCUUACCUUCUACGUCGUUGAAAAUAAAAAAAAUGGAACUCGACCAGACAUUCUUCUUUUGCUAUCAAUCAAAAAUCGACUCCUAUUUCAUACAGCUCAUGUACAAGAUUUCAACCACAUUAUUUACUACUUCUAAUAUUACUAGUAAAACUAUAUAUUAAAUAAAAUAUAAAACAUGAUUUAUCGUUAAAUAUAAUAUUUUUACACUGAUAAAA